rnacentral:rRNA from 1 species
CCUACGGGAGGCAGCAGUGAGGAAUAUUGGUCAAUGGACGAGAGUCUGAACCAGCCAAGUAGCGUGAAGGAUGACUGCCCUAUGGGUUGUAAACUUCUUUUAUAAAGGAAUAAAACGAGGCACGUGUGCCUUUUUCAUGUACUUUAUGAAUUAGGAUCGGCUAACUCCGUGCCAGCCGCCGCGGUAAUUAGGAGGAAUCGAGCGUUAUCCGGAUUUAUUGGGUUUAAAGGGAGCGUAGAUGGGUUGUUAAGUCAGUUGUGAAAGUUUGCGGCUCAACCGUAAAAUUGCAAUUGAUACUGGCAGUCUUGAGUACAGUUGAGGUAGGCGGAAUUCGUGGUGUAGCGGUGAAAUGCUUAGAUAUCACGAAGAACCCCGAUUGCGAAGGCAGCUUACUAAACUGUGACUGACAUUGAUGCUCGAAAGUGUGGGUAUCAAACAGGAUUAGAUACCCCUGUAGUC